CCUGGCGGCAGUAGCGCGGUGGUCCCACCUGACCCCAUGCCGAACUCAGAAGUGAAACGCCGUAGCGCCGAUGGUAGUGUGGGGGCUCCCCAUGCGAGAGUAGGGAACUGCCAGGC
rnacentral:rRNA from 6 species